UACGAAGGGAGCUAGCGUUGUUCGGAAUCACUGGGCGUAAAGCGCACGUAGGCGGAUGUGAUCAGUCAGGGGUGAAAUCCCGGAGCUCAACUUCGGAACUGCCUUUGAUACAGCACGUCUUGAGUCCGGAAGGAAGGUGGGUGGAAUUCCUAGUGUAGAGGUGAAAUUCGUAGAUAUUAGGAAGAACACCGGUGGCGAAGGCGGCCCACUGGUCCGGUACUGACGCUGAGGUGCGAAAGCGUGGGGAGCAAACAGG
rnacentral:rRNA from 1 species